ACGAAAAUAUGAUGCUCUG
rnacentral:siRNA from 1 species